rnacentral:rRNA from 1 species
GAUCCUGGCUCAGGAUGAACGCUAGCUACAGGCUUAACACAUGCAAGUCGAGGGGCAGCAUGGUCUUAGCUUGCUAAGGCCGAUGGCGACCGGCGCACGGGUGAGUAACGCGUAUCCAACCUGCCUUACACUCUUGGACAGCCUUCUGAAAGGGAGAUUAAUACAAGAUGUUAUCAUGGGUAAGCAUUUUCGCAUGAUUAAAGGUUUACCGGUGUAAGGUGGGGAUGCAUUCCAUUAG